AUGAGAACAGAAGUUGCUCAGCAGCGUCAAGAGGAAAUGGAAAAUACAAUUCUUCUAUUUGUAAUCCAAAUAAGAUUUCCAGAGAUUAGGUAAAGAAAGAAGAAACAGCAGUUUCAGGAUAUAUCUUUUAUUUAUGGAACAGACAAAAACAAGCAAUUGCGGGAGUAAAGAAAUAACCAUGAAAUGGAAACAAUGCUAAAGCUUUUAUUUUCAGGAUUGCUUUCUAGCGGUAAAGUGGAGCCACUCACCGCUGCAAUACAGCAGUACACGGAGCCACAGGUGGCAGAUAUGAAUCGUGAAUUAGUCAGUGUGAAUCAAUUUAAAAUGGCCCCCCGUUGUUUCAUUUUGGUCAGGUAACAAAGUGAAACAAAGUGAGCCGCCCAAUAGGCCACAGGUGUCUAAGACCAGCACAACACGAAUCCAAUCAAACUGUAACAUGGGCAAUAUCGUUCACCGUUUGCCUUUGGGUAAUUUUCUCUUUACGGAUUGUCAUUUGGAGCCAAGGACAGUUUUGGCCACAAAAACGACUUUUUGUUGAAAAUAAAUGUGUUGUGUUCAGGGAAAGAUAAGAUUCCCCAUUGCUUCUGCUUCAAUCACAACAAAGUGUUUCUAUCCAUUAAUGGAAGACAGGUGGACUUUGAAAGCAGAAAAGGAAAAUAUUUAGAGAGUGAUAGCAAAAAGACAAAAUAUUACUGAUUUGGGCCAAGACUCUUCUAGAUGAGCACGACCAGCGUGACUUCUGAAACUUCUACAGAUUGGCGUCAUUUGUAAGGGCUAAUUAUGAGCAUGUAUGUUCAUGUUUAACCUCUAAACAUUGCUAAAAAAACAAAACAAAAAACAAUGAGACAUACAUUUCCAGUUAAAAAGAAAUAUUAAAAGCCCAAAAUAAAAUCUGAAUGAAAUCUUCUGACAGUUUUAUAAAAUAUUCAGUGUCAUAACUUAAAAUAUAUGUCACCAGUGGGAAAAAAAUGGUAUAACAUCUGCUUUCUAUAUGGAAAUAUUAUGAUCAACCAUAACGAUUUUGUUAUUGGUCUCAUUUCUUAGAGAGACUUUUUUAUAAGAUUGGGAAAUGUGCAAAACUUGGAAAUUGGUGAUUAAUAUUACAUGAACCAUUCAUCCUUCUUUUGAGUAAAUGUAUAAAUGAAGAUCACACCAAUAAUACUUCAAAUUGGGCAAGUAAUAUACAGUAUGUACACCCAGGAAGAGCAUACAUUUAUGGUGACAAGCAGUGUAAAGCAGCACAUAGCGGAGAUGUAAAAUAAUUCCUACUCAGUUAUAUAGGCUGUUGGCUUAUUUAUUUAUAAAUUAUAAAUUUAUAAUUCCUCGAAAUUAUAAGUUGUGCUUGCAGUUUUUGGAACGAGUAAACAAAAAUAAUAGUGUUAUGAAAAACCCCAAGCAAAUAUUUGCAUACAUUGAAGAAUAGGCCUACAAGAAAUGCUAAUAUAUCUCCACAAACAAGCAUAUCUUUAAAUCACAUUUCAACCACCCUCAGCAUUAUUUCAGCAGAAGAAGAAGAAGAAAAAAAGUUACUGCGAGUUUUGCACAAAGCCUUGUUAUAAGGGAGCAGAGCUAACGCUUGCAGAGAGAGGAACAGAUGCUGAUCAUUAACAGGCUCUGGUAUAAUAACAGCCGCAGUGCUCCUUUAGUCUUGGGAGAGCGGUCUUUUGAUUUUCCUGCCUGAUGAGCCGUUGUGUAUACGUUGGAGGGAUGGCAAUAUGUUGUACAGAGCCGGCAUCUGGGAGUGAAUGUGCAUUGGAUGUCUGCGCGCCAUACUUUAGAUGAGGGGCUAUGCGCGAGGUGGCAACACAUGUCAGUGUUCGGGCUUGGAUCUGAUGCAUUGUGUUGUGUAUGUGACACACUGGUCCACUCUUAGCCUGCUGCUUGAUAGUGACAUUGAUGCAGUGGGUGGUACUAGUCGUGGCGCAUUGAGAGGGGGACUCUGAGUCCUCUUGGGCUGUUCUGUGGCUGCAGGCUCUAUCCAUCUCCAUCUCACCUCCGAUUGAAGAGGGGGUCAGAGAAAGAGACGACGAAGGGGAUAGAGAGAGAGAAUAAAAAGAGUAUGACAGGGAGUGUAUCUACACCUGGGUGAUGGAUUUACCGUGGAAUGAUUUCUUUGUUCUAAGAGGUGGAUAAUGCCUCUGCAACAGCAGACACAAUGUCUCAACUGAAAAGGUUCCUUUUAUGAGAGGCUUUUCCCAGACAGGAUGGCAAAUGAUGGGAUCUGUAGAGCUUCUGCACCUAUUUUUAAACUGACAAACCUCUGCAAAGGAAAUGUCUGCGAGGGUCUCUAAAGUGGGCGGAAGUAGUUCACUCUACUGAUUCGGUCUCAGUGUCACAAGUGCUGUCCUAUCUUACAGCGCCAAUACUAUUUGUGGGGACCUGCAAAAGUAUUCAUGCAAUUUUUUUCAGAUUUUAUCAUGUUUAGGAUUUUAUGUGACAGUCCAACAUAAAGGACUGAAAAGUGUGCAGAGGAAGAAAAGAGAGCAGAUCAUUUUAAUCGGGCUGAAAUGUAUGCCACACUUUUCAGAUUUUUAUUUGUAAUAAAAAUAAAAAAUACGGUUCAGAACAAUGCACUCCUGUGUUCCAUUAUAUUAAAAAAAUCCAAUAAAAUCCUUUAAGUACUGUAGUAGCAUGUCAAAAUAGGGGGGAAAGUCUAAGACACUGCUUUCUCUUGCUUCCCAGGAAACGCAUAUUUUUCAAGCAGCAGACAAGGUCUAAUGAGAUUUGAAAAAUCUUUGCCCCUAUCUGCUGGUGGACUGCAUAAAAUACGUUUUCUGAGUACCUGAUGUAGAUACUAACAAGAAAGGGAAAGAAAGAACUUGGCAAUAAGCCUCGUGCAUUGCACAUUGAUCAUUCUGGGCAGCUCAUUGAAGCCUGAUAUAGUAUCAUAUGCACUUAAUUAUCAUAACAUCCUAUUUCUAAAGCCAAAAAGUCCUGACAAAGUUCUAUGAAAUGUAAAAAAGCCAAAGACCUGAACAGAGAAUCAAUACCUCAAAGAACCACUCCCAGCAUGGGGGCCACAGAACCAAUCCAAUUAAAAUGCAUAAAUCUCCCUGUGUGCCUCCACAGUCGGUCUUUGACUCAUGAAAUACUGUCAGGCGGGGCAGACUGUUGCGCUAAAGGGUGGUUGCCCACUGCAAGGAGUCAUGUGACAAAUCCACCUAAGGUAUGGGACCAGGAAUUUAUGAGCUUCAUGGAGACGGGGAACAGUUGCAGAGAGGGCGCUCGAUUCAGGGGUGCUUGCAAAUUUGUCACGUUUAAAAGGGCUCGGAGAAAGACUACAGUUUGCAUGGUGGGAGUUGGCAUUCGGCUCAUGCACGUAAUAUCACACUGUGUUCUAAGACACUGUCUCUACCACUCUUAUGCCAUGGCUUUUAAGGUAGAUGUAUCUUGAACAAUUGCUCUUGGCGUGUGUGUACAUAAACUAAGUUAUAUCAUGAAAUAGAAAAUUAACCUUGACUGCCCUCGUAGUUACUGUCUGAUUGGGAGACAGUGAUUAAUGUGACCCAGAUUUCAGCCAUUUCAUCAUCUGAAAGGACGUGUCAUUAUUUUGUAGCUGCUAGUGCAUUAAAAAUGGUGUCACCUAACAGUAGUUCAGUACCUCCCUGCAAUCUCCUUUAAGAUGUUUUUUAGUGGGUGAAAAACAGGCCGUAGAUCUGCAAUAAAAUGGUAUAUAUAUUUUAUAUAAAAAAAAAAAUCAUGAGCAAGCACUGCAAACAAAACCCCAAAAUGUGAGAGAAGAAAAGCAAAAAUGCUGCACCCGGGGAAGCCAGACAGAGCAACCAGCAAAAAGUAGAUAAGAGUAUCUGAGCUAAAAGCAUAUACAGAAGAGAAACUGAUGACUGGGAUUGGAACGAGGUGAGACUAACUGAGUAAAAACACUGUCACCACGGCAAGGAACAGAGGCACUGAUGGAAACUAACAAGCUGAACACAAUAAAAGUUACAGAACAAAUACAGAAACCAUGACGACAAAAUAUUAAAACUCAUGAAAAUAACAGAGCAAAGCAGCAAAAAUGGCUUUACUAAUAUGUAUUAAACACAGAAGUCAAAUAAAGUAUUAUUUGUGCCAGUGAAACCAGAAAAAUUUACUGAAACGCACAAUAAAUUUAAACCUAAUUCUGAUGACAACACUACUUAACAAUGUUAGACCUUAAUGUUGUGUUCAACUUGAAAAAAGAAAGGUUUAAAUGUAUUCUUAAAAGCUCAUACUUAAAUGUUUGACUGUCACUGCUUGUAAAUUUCUGGCUAACGCUGUAGUUCACAUCUAAAAUGUGUUUCUUCAUAAUCCCAGUUUCUACUUGCAGUUCUGAUGAAUUUCAAGUCUUCUGUAGCCUUACGAAAUUGCAUUGCUGCUUGUCAUUUAGGUGUAACAAAAAUGACAAAAGUAGUCACAAUGAAAAUACAAUCAAGUGCGUUUGAACUCCUUUAAUUUCUAAAGCAAAACAAAUGUAAAAAAAAGUUGGACUCAUCUUCUUCAUCAGGUAUUAUACAAAGGUCAAAUCAUUUGACUACAAUGGUUCAUAUGAGGUCCAAGUUCAUCGCUGUUGUUAGAUCUCAGCCUUCUAAUAUGAGGUUGAGUGGAGUGAGCUCACUCUUCAAAGAUUUUAACCGUACUAAAUGGCUCCAGGCGAAGUGAUGAGACAUUUUAAUACUGUAAUCACUUGCGCGCUUGAAAAAGUCACUUUAAAGUACACCCACUCAUAUCAUUCCCUUCAAAUAGAAAUCUGCAAUCAUUCAAAGUACCAGAGACAACCCCCCCCCCAAAAAAACAAAAACAUAUCCUACAUGCAGCCGACUUCUGCUUUCAACUUUUGUUUGUUUGACCACCUGCUGAGACUGAAAGAUCAGACGGAGGCAUUUAUCGUUCUGGUUUGAAUGUCCAAGACGUCAGUUGUAAAUCAGACAGAAGUGAAAGCACUCUGUGCCGUUGUAAUGGUCCUUCAUAAUACAGUAUCCAUUAUGGUAGUUAAAGACCUCUAAUACUAAAUGUAGCUGUUAUGAAGAGUGCAUAAGAACAAAAUGGACAAAGUUGCCUCAGGGGUCAGAGUUUUAGACUGAAAUAUUGUAAAGGCCUUCAUAGGAGAGUUAUUUUAAUAAAAGACCAGGUACAGGUCAGAAUUUUCUCUGGCUGCAUGUAGUGUAAAUUAAAACACCCACAUAGUAUAUUGCUGUGAGCAGUCAGUGUGCUAUGCAUGACAAUCUAAGCAGAAAAGAUACCAAGUUUCUUGUUUUGGCUAUUCUUAAUACAUUAUCCAUGAUAUUGAACAUAAUAUUUUGUUAAAUAAGCCACUUAUUUACGCUCAUGUUUAUAAAUUUAAAAUAGAAUUGAAAAGUUAAUUUAUUUCAGUAACUCACUUCUUUAAGUGACACACAUUAUAUAGAAUAAUUACACUCAGCCUGAUGGUUUAUUUCUAUUUAAGAGUAUUACAUCAGACCAACAAAAAGCAUCUUUGAUACAGAAAUGUGGGAUUAAUGGAAAGUAUUUAGAAUACCUACUUAAAAUUGCUAUUUUGUCUUUUAUUCAGACAAAUGAGCUUCAAAGGAGCACAUUCUAAUCUAAUAAUUAUGACUAAGAGGAGCGUUGAACAGCUUUAAUCCACCAAGGUAGCACAGUUUUUGUCACACACCAGAACUAUGCAAAAAAAUUUAAUCCACCGAUGUUGCUUAAUGUAUUUUGCAUAUUUUGGUGACCUUGAGUGAGGAGGAAGGCGCCUCAGACUAAAAUGUGCUAUUAAAUUAAUUCAUGUAUUGGUUCAAAUAGAGAAAUGUUUCAUUUUUAAAUAUCUGAUGGAAUAUUUUUUAGAUUCUGCAAGGUGUGAGAAUGGUUUGCACAAUAUUUAUUCCAAAAUUGAUGGCAUAAUAAGAUGCCCAUGUCCACAUAUGUUAGCAAAACACACAUGCUUAUUGAUGGGUGUUCAAAUUUGGUCACAACCCUUGUUAACUAAUAAGAAAAAAUCAACUGUGAUAAAAUGAGUUAUUUAUAGGAAAACGACAGGAGGAAGCAACAAAAUAGUAAUGUGAAGGUAAAAAAAUGUUGGUAAACAUUGUUAAAUAUAUUUUACUCAGAGUUUUAUUCAUAUGUUAUGAUGCUCUGGCAACAGGAAGAGGUUCCACCACGUUUUUCUCCUACUAUGUUAGUUUUAAUAGUCACCACAGUGAACCAAUUGGAUUUUGCAUCAGUAAAAUACUUCUGUAGGAUAAAAUGUCUGUGAUGACAAUGUAGAGAUUGUUUUGGAUUCUCCAAUCUCUAUGGAAUAUAUGGGAACACUGAAUGCUCUCAUAAUUUGAUGUUAAAGCUGUGGCACUACAGAAAAGUUCACCAGCAGGAAAAUCUUUCAACAUGUUGGUCAAUUUUUCCUCAUUUGCCACAAAAGUUAUCACCCCAUGAAACAAGAUUGAUAAUGACUGUAAUACUGGACUCAGUCCAGAGUGAAAAAAAAGCAAUUACAACUUUUCAAAUAAAUAAACAAUGCUAAAAGAUAAUUAGUAGCUCUGAGGGUUAUGAGUAAUAACAAUGCAGUAGCUGAACUUGCUGUUUUCUGCUGCCAUGGAUACAAAAAAAACCGAUAGCCUCCUCGGUUCAUAAGAUUUCUUUAUCUGGCAUUAUUUCCAAGAAACACAGACGCAUACAUCUAUUUUCUCUCCAUUCGCUGUGCUUUUAAAUCAAGCAUGGUGACAGUUUGUCAAAUAAAAAGCCUCCAAAGCCCCCAUUUAGUGGCAGUUUCCUAUGAGCUGUCUUCUAUAAGGACAAGGUAGAAAAGAUAACGAAAUAGAAAAGACAAGAAGGGAAAAAUAUCACUCAGAAUUGGGGUGCAACCACUGUCCACUUUUCUCUGGUGAAUGUAGUGGCACAAGCUAGCGAGGCUUUUCAAAAUGUUGGGGGGAUUGGCUUAACUCAAAGAGCUCUUUUACUUCUUCCCCCUAUUUUUUUUUUGCCCUGCUCUGCUUUCAUCGUGUGAAGGCUCCCAUUCUUCAUCGCUGCCUCGCUAUUCCAGACUCGACUUCAGCCCUGCAGGGAGCUUAGUGGGUCCAGAAGUCAUGCUGCUGAGUGACAAACAGUGGCUCUUUGCAGCCGCCCCACCCACAAGGAGAACAGAGGGUUUUGCGGGUACUGGGAAGGAAGAUUGCAUGCAUAUUAUUUUGUCUUUUAUUUGUGCAUAGUUUUGAGAGAAAGACAAUCGAAAGAGACAAAAAAGCCAAAUUGGAGAGAAGACAGUUAAAAAAACAACAACAACAACAACAACAACAAAACAAGGCCAGUGAUUUUGUGGACUGGGGCCAGGUGGGAUAUCUCUCACAGAGAGUAUCUCUUUUUCUCCAAUUGAUUCAGAAAAGAUGCCCUGGUGAGACAGAUGCCAUGACAGAUCCAAUAGGCUGCUCUGCUCCAUCAGCGGUUGAGCUCUUCAAAUCU